UGAUGUUGAUGCAGUUUUUGAAGCUAAUACGCAGCAGAUUUAUAACAGGGUAUUGGAUAACUUUCGGCUAUAUAUUGAGAGCCUUUGGAGAUGGAAUUGAGCGUGCUAACCUGAACCAAAACUAGGGUGCAAGCUGUGACCGGGUAUAAGGGAAAAUGUUGCUGAAAAUGAAUGUUUUGAUAUAAAUUUCGAUGCAGUUUUAUAAGUAAAUCGCAGCAAGGUUAAGACCUGGUUGAGCUGAAUUCGGGACUCAUUUGAGCAGGUUUGAGCUGAGUUUUGGGGAGCUUCUACAUACAUUGGAGAGUGGAUUUAACCUCCCUUUUAACUUAGGAACCUGGAUGCUUGAAUUGCUCACCGUGUGAGAUUGACAAGAGGCAUCGUUUAGCAGAGCCUUCCACAACGGAAAAGGCUAAGGUUCUUGGCGAGGGGUCAGCGGCUAGCUAGAGCUUUCUCGAUGUUAAAUAGAUGGAUGAUGUUCGAUAGAUGGAACCACUCCAGAUUUUCUAGUUCUGUAUUGUGUUGUUAACGAGAUUCUGUAAAUUUAUAAUUGUUCCUUCCUGUUGUAUUAAGA